rnacentral:rRNA from 1 species
AUGGCGAUCUCGUCCUCAUUGGAGUCAUGCGCCAUUGCUAAAUACGUGCUUCGCAAAUACAAGUCGGAGCAAGUGGACUUGUUGAGGGAGAGCAAUCUGAAGGAAGCUGCCAUGGUAGACAUAUGGACGGAGGUCGAAGGACACCAAUACCACCCGGUCCUCUCACCGAUCGUGCUGGAGUGCUUUAUAUACCCGACCUUACGCGGUCUUCCCACGAAUCAAAGGAAUGUGGAUGAAAUCUUGGAGAAGGCGAAGAAGGUUCUAGAAAUCUACGAAGCCUGCCUGUCCAAACACAAGUAUUUAGCGGGUGAUUUUGUCAGCUUUGCAGAUCUAAACCAUUUCGCGUGUACUUUCUACCUCAUGGAUGCGACGCCAUAUGUGUCUCUGUUCGACUUGUACCCACACGUGAAAGCUUGGUGGGAGGAUAUGAUGUCCAGGCCGUCCAUGAAGAAGCUCGGUGCAGGUAUGACCACGAGGGUUUAG